rnacentral:rRNA from 1 species
UACGGAGGGUGCAAGCGUUAUCCGGAUUUACUGGGUUUAAAGGGUGUGUAGGCUGGCUUUUAAGUCAGUUGUGAAAUCUCCGGGCUCAACCCGGAAACUGCCAUUGAUACUAUUAGUCUUGAAUUUUGUUGAGGUAGGCGGAAUAAGUCAUGUAGCGGUGAAAUGCUUAGAUAUGACUUAGAACACCAAUUGCGAAGGCAGCUUGCUAAACAAAUAUUGACGCUGAGGCACGAAAGCGUGGGGAUCAAACAGG